rnacentral:lncRNA from 1 species
UAUUGCCUUAUUCUCCAGGUGAGCAUCUGAUUGUCAAAAAUAUAAACUAUAUUCACUUGUUCUCCAGGUGGGUGCCUAAUUGCCAAAAACUCAAACUGUAUUCCCUUGUUUUCCAAGUGAGCGCAUGAUUGCCAAAUACUUUAACUAUAUUACCUGAAACUACUUCCGUUGAACGUCAUUACAACAAAGCAAAUAAAACAAAAGAAAUUUUCCAAGCCUAGUUUGGUGCUGGGCGCAUCUGUGAGUGUAUAUCACACCUCCUAUUUUCCUACAACCUAGAAAGGAGUAUAUAAGGGAAUGUUUUCCAACUUAAAGUGACAAUUGAAACGGGAUCAUUUUUAUUAAAAUUCAUACUAGCCACUUAGGAUAAUUGUAUGAAGACCCAUGUCACCGGUUUAGAUCCCGAAUUGAGGAAAAGAUUUAUUGUGUUUUACAGUCUGCGAAUACGAAAAUCCGUGUAAGAAAUUCUGUUAACCCGGGAGAAGGUGUUAGGCUAGCAUGGUCGCGCAACUAUUAUUGUUGGCCUAAUUAUCUGAUUUUAAAAUACUUUUAAACCUAUGUGCAUUUUAACUUUAAACUGGUAUUAAUUAUUUUCAGCAGAAUAUCAACGUCAUCUAAAAUACGUCUUUAGACCACGUCACAUUAAAUGCACCCGCAGUCCGAGACACAUUUUAUUUAAUGUUGUUAAGAUUUGGAUUUGGGCCACAUGAAAUGCAUACCCGAGUUUAGGAAAGUAAUUUUUAAUAGCACCUAAAGCAACUAUGCGCUUUCAACUUUGCGAGAGCCAUGAAAAUUUAACUAAAUGGCAUGCCUCGAUUUCUAAAGAUUCAAGAUUAAUUAAAUGAGGGCCAUGCAUUUUGAGAUUUCAUUUAGUUUGACACACCUCGAACUAUUUAACUAAUUUUAAUAGCUAUGGAUAAUCACUUUUAAAGCUAAUUCAAAAUUAAUUACCGUGACUACACCAUGAGAACCAUACUCAUUGUCAUGAUGUUCAAUUACAUGCUUAAGGGUUUGCCUACCCGGGAUCCAGCUAGGCAAUUCAUCUAUCAAUUUAUUCCUUAACAACAUCUUAGGAUUUAUUAAACAGAAUCAAUUUAUUAGCACAAAGGAUCACCUAAAUUUCAUUUCAAAUCACAGAGUUGAAGUAAAAAUUAAAUUGAAACCACUUCAAAUAUCUAGAGGCUCCAGUUAAUAUAAUUAGUUACUUCAAAAUACAAAAACACUUAUUAAAAUACGUGGAUCAUUAUUCCGAAGGUAUUCGUGCCAAUAUCAAGAUUUGAUUUUUAGAAAAAUGAAAAAUAGUUGAAAGGUUGUUUCCUAAAGCAAAUUUUCCAGUCUAUAAGCAACUGGUUUUUUCAAAGCCAUACUCAAGCAGACAUUAUUUUCCAAAAAACCAAAUAACACUAAAAACAAACCAACAAUAAAACUGUUUUGCAAUUCGAACUCCAUUUCACCGACGCAGAAGACAAACCUAAGGUACAGUAUCAAGUUCUUACCAUUGGACGAAUAUCGACUAAUCAUCUAAACAAUAAGAUUACAAGUCGACUGGCCGGAGAGUCGACCUCGACAAACCGAAAAAGAGAAUGUCACUGCGCCUUUCAACCUCAAACGGCAACAGGGCUCGAAUCAGAACCAACAUCGAGCAACAACUCAUAUCACAUCCAUCUCAGAUUCAUGCUCAAAGUUUCUGCUGGAUUUCCAGCGAGUUAUGGUAGUUGUUGCUGCUGGUUUCCAGCGAAUUCUGGUGUGAGGUGAUGGAGUAAGAUCGUCGGCUGAUAGAGGACUAUUUUGGUUUUCAAAGGUCGCGCUGGUGUUUAUGGUGUUCGACAGUAGACGGCGUUGGCUGGAAAUGGAGGAACUCAUCACCGACAAGUUGCAGAAGAAGAAGGUGGCGAUGGGGAGGAAGGUCGUUUUUGGAUUAAUUUCUGGCAGUUGCUCCUUCAUUUUCGCCAGUUCGAUUUGUGGUUGGAGAUGCUCUGCUAGCUUCAAUAGAGUCUAGGGUUUUUCCUUUGGCUCUUUCAUGAAGAAGACGUUGAAGCUCCGNNN